UACGUAGGGGGCGAGCGUUGUCCGGAAUGACUGGGCGUAAAGCGCGCGCAGGCGGUUUCUUUAGUCUGAGGUGAAAGGCUGGGGCUCAACCCUGGCAUGCCUUGGAAACGGAGAGACUUGAGUACUGGAGAGGCAAGGGGAAUUCCACGUGUAGCGGUGAAAUGCGUAGAGAUGUGGAGGAAUACCAGUGGCGAAGGCGCCUUGCUGGACAGAGACUGACGCUGAGGCGCGAAGGCGUGGGGAGCAAACAGG
rnacentral:rRNA from 1 species